rnacentral:tRNA from 2 species
GUCGGGAUAGCUCAGUUGGUAGAGCAGAGGACUGAAAUUCUCUG